AUUUUGUAGGUACUUUCAGCAGAGGAGUUUCAGAAAUGCUUUGCACAAACACAGGUUCACCAAGUGAGUGAUCACACGGGAAGACCACGUGGGAAGAUUUUAGGUUGUUUUAUUAAAGUUCAUUGCUGAGAACACAAAGGCUGAUGCCACAGAGGGGAAAACGCCAGAUCCACCACCGAACAGCUAAAGCCAUAUGCGCCUGCUCCAUGAAUGCCCAUUUUUCAUCUUUAGUGGGCUUCAAAGUUAAAUAGCACAGACAACACAAAGGAAAAUAUGACCGCAGCAAAAGACAGAAACUACACUGUGGCUACAAUUAAAUCUUCAUACCAAUCAUGCAUUUUUAAUGUGAACGUUUAUGGAAAUUGUCUCUUGAUGUUUAGGUGGUGUUUUUCAUCAUUGGUUAUUUAUGAUGCUUUGAUCCUGGAAACAUGAGCUAAAUGAGAAAGCCAGAGAAAGGGAUUCACUUAACAACGGAUAACCUUGUUGUAUCAUAAAUUACAAGAAGAAAGCCAAUCAUCUUUCAAGCUGCAUCAUCAUAAACAAACUUAAAAGAAGAAGCUACCAGGAUUCAUGGCAACUUUUUUGCUUCCCAACCUGGAAUUCCCCAGUAUGUGCUGUCUGACUGGUUUCUGUUCUCUAGUAGGGAUAGAUCCUUUGCCAUGUUGAUUAGCUUAAUUGUGCCAUUUUAUUAUUUGGGAUGUGAACAUAGAAAAAAAUUUUUCAAUAAAAUCGAAG
rnacentral:lncRNA from 1 species